rnacentral:rRNA from 1 species
GCUAGUAAUCGCGGAUCAGAAUGCCGCGGUGAAUACGUUCCCGGGUCUUGUACACACCGCCCGUCACACCAUGGGAGUCGGGAAUGCCCGAAGUCAGUGACCCAACCCAAGGGAGGGAGCUGCCGAAGGCAGGCCUGGUGACUGGGGUGAAGUCGUAACAAGGUAUC